UACGUAGGGGGCAAGCGUUGUCCGGAAUCAUUGGGCGUAAAGAGCGCGUAGGCGGUCCGGUAAGUCCGCUCUGAAAGUCCGGGGCUCAACCCCGGGAGGCGGGCGGAUACUGUCGGGCUAGAGUCCGGAAGAGGCGAGUGGAAUUCCUGGUGUAGCGGUGAAAUGCGCAGAUAUCAGGAGGAACACCGAUGGCGAAGGCAGCUUGCUACACAAUUAUUGACACUGAGGCACGAAAGCGUGGGGAUCAAACAGG
rnacentral:rRNA from 1 species